GAUGAACGCUGGCGGCGUGCCUAAUACAUGCAAGUCGAGCGAACAGAUAAGGAGCUUGCUCCUUUGACGUUAGCGGCGGACGGGUGAGUAACACGUGGGUAACCUACCUAUAAGACUGGGAUAACUUCGGGAAACCGGAGCUAAUACCGGAUAACAUUUGGAACCGCAUGGUUCUAAAGUGAAAGAUGGUUUUGCUAUCACUUAUAGAUGGACCCGCGCCGUAUUAGCUAGUUGGUAAGGUAACGGCUUACCAAGGCAACGAUACGUAGCCGACCUGAGAGGGGGACCGGCCCCACGGGGAUGGAGACACGGCCCAGACUCCUAGGGGAGGCAGAAGGAGGGAAUUUUCAGCAAGGGGCGAAAGCCUGACGAAGAAACGCGGCGGGAGGGAUGAAGGGUUUCGGGUCGUAAAACGCUUUUAUUAGGAAAGAAAAAGUGUCAAAGAAACUCUGGAGGUCUUGACGGUACCUAAUGAAAAAGCCACGGCUAACUACGUG
rnacentral:rRNA from 1 species